rnacentral:snoRNA from 1 species
AUGGCUCUUACUACAAUCUGAAGCGUUCAGGAGGGUCUUGAUGGUGGUGCCGUAAUUGGGGAAUUUGGCUUUAUGUCGUCUGGAGUUUUUCUAGCUUCAUAGAGUCUUCUUCAACUUAUAGUGUCAAAUAGCCAUUAAAGGUUCUCAUCCAAUGCGUCGAGGAGUAAAAUUAAGUAGCCUAUAGUAGGUUCAAUCCACGCCCUUUUCGCUAACAACGACUGAUAUCCCACAGUUCGUAGUUUGAUAGUAGGUGGGCGGAAAUUC